rnacentral:lncRNA from 1 species
GUCUCUUUCUGUCACCCGGUCUGGAGUGAAGUGGCGCAGUCUCAGCUCUCUGCAACCUCUGCCUCCCAGGUUCAAGCAAUUCUUCUGCCUCAGCCUCCCAAGUAGCUGGGAUUACAGGAAUGUCUCCCGCAGGGACCCUACCCUGGUGGCACAGGACGUCUCACACAGCACUGUCUGGGACAGCAAAAGGGAUGGAAACCACCUGAGUCCAACUAUGGAGGACACUGGAAAACACGAUGCUGCCUCCAUAGGAUGGGAUAUUGUUCUGGAGGCUGCAAGCCCAGGUUCAAGGCAUCAGCAGGUGUGGUUUCCUCCGAGGCCUCUCCCCGUGGCUUGCAGAUGGCUGCCUUCUUCCUGCAUCCUCACGUGGUCCCUCCUCUGCACUCCAGCAUCCUUAAUGUCUCUUUGUGUGUCCAACUUUCCGCCCCCCCCCACCCCUUUUUUUUCUGAUGGAGUCCACCCAGACUGGAGUACAGUGGCGUGAUCUCAGCUCACUGCAACCUCCACUUCCUGGGCUCAAGUGAUUCCCCCGCUUCAGCCUCCCGAGUAGCUGGGAUUACAGGCAUGUGCCACCAUGCCUGGCUAAUUUUUGUAUUUUUAAUAGAGAUGGGAUUUCACCAUAUUGGCCAGGCUGGUCUCAAACUCCUGACCUCAAGUGAUCCACCCAUCUCGGCCUCCCAAAGUGUUGAGAUUACAGGUGUGAGCCACUGCGCCCAGCCCCGAACUUUCCUCUUAAAAGGAUAUCAGUCAGGCCAGGCGCAGUGGCUCAUACCUGUAAUCCCUGCACUUUGGGAGGUUGAGGCGGGUGGAUUACUUGAGGUCAGGAGUUGGAGACCAGCCUGGCCAACAUGGUGAAAUCCCGUGUCUACUAAAAAUACAAAAAUUAGCCGGGCGUGGUGGCAGGCGCCUGUAGUCCCAGCCACUCGGGAGGCUGAGGCAGGAGAAUUGCUUGAACCUGGGAGGCAGAGGUUGCAGUCAGCUGAGAUCAUGCUACUGCACUCCAGUCUGGGCAACAGAGCAAGACUCUAUCUCAAAAAAAAAAAAGACACCAGUCAGACUGGAGUAGGGCUCACCCUAAUGGCCUGAUUUUAACUUAAUUACCUCUUUUUUUUUCUUUCUUUUUUUGAGACAGAGUCUCGCUCUGUCACCCAGGCUUGAGUGCAGUGGCGCGAUCUCAGCUCACUGCAACCUCUGUCUCCCGGGUUCAAGUGAUUCUCCAGCCUUAGCCUCCCAAGUAGCUGGAAUUACAGGCGUGUACCACCACACCAAGCUAAUUUUUGUAUUUUUUAGUAGAGACAGGGUUUCUUCAUGUUGGUCAGGCUGGUCUCAAACUCCUGACCUCAGGUGAUACACCUGCCUCGGCCUCCCAAAGUGAUGGGAUUAUAGGUGUGAGCCACUGCACCCAGCCUUAAUUACCCCUUUAAAGGCCCUAUAUGCAAAUACAGUCACAUUCUGAGCUACUGGGGGUUAGGGCUUCAACAUAGGAAUUCAGGCAGACAUGAUUCAGCCCAUAACAAGGGCUUUCACUUUUUUUUUUUUUGUAGAAACAGGGUCUCACUAUGUUGCCCAGGCUACUCUUGAACUCCUGGGUUCAAGUGAUUCUCCAGCCUCAGCCCCCAGAUUAGCUGGGGCUACAGGUGCACCAGCACGCCCAGCUAAUAUUUUUACUUUCAUUUUUUUUAGACGGAGUUUAGCUAUCUUUGCCCAGGCUAGAGUGCAAUAGCGUGAUCUUGGCUCACCACAACCUCUGCCUUCCGGGUUCAAGAAUUCUCCUGCCUCAGCCUCCCAAGUAGCUGGGAUUACAGGCAUGCACCACCAUGACCGGCUAAUUUUGUAUUUUUAGUAGAGACGGGGUUUCUCCAUGUUGGUCAGGCUGCUCUCGAACUCCCGACCUCAGAUGGUCUGCCCGCCUCAGCUUCCCAAGGUGCUGGGAUUACAGGCGUGAGCCACCGCGCCCGGCCAAUAUUUUUUGUGGAGUCAGGGUCCUACUAUGUUUCCCAGGCUGGUCUUGAACUUCCAGGCUCAAGCGAUCCUCCUGCCUUGGCCUCCUAAAGUACUGUGAUUCCAGGCCUGAGCCACAGCACCCUGCUGGCUUUCACUUUUUACUUUAUUUCUAUGUUGUUAAAAUCUAUUACAAUAAACAUUACUUUUAAAGGAUUUUGUGCACUUCAAUCCAAAUGUCCCUGAAGCAUCUACCUCCCUCCUGGGCCUUCUCUGAAGUCAGAGUAGGGGCAGCUGAAGCCCUCCCUCUGCUGGCUCCAGGAACGAAACCCCCUGGCCCACUAAGGCCCUUCCCCUGGGGAGGGUGGCGUGGGAUAAGAACACUCAGUAUCUGUCUGGCCCUCUCAAGAUCACUGAGGACUUUCCCAGACAGCCGACAUGGUCUUCAGAUCAGUCUGCCAAACGUCACAUAGAGGCUGGGCACGGUGGCUCACGUCUGUAAUCCCAGCACUUUGGGAGGGCAACGUGGGUGGAUCACCUGAAGUCAGGAGUUCGAGACCAGGCUGGCCGACAUUGCAAAACCUCGUCUCUACAAAAAUAUAAAAGUUAGCUGGGCGUGGUGGCACGCGCCUGUAGUCCCAGCUACUCGGGAGGCUGAGGCAGGAGAAUCACUUGAACCUGGGAGGCGGAGGUUGCAGUGGACCAGGAUCGUACCACUGCACUCCAGCCUGGCCAACAGAGUAAGACUCCAUCUCAAAAAAAAAAAAAAAAUCAGGUGGAGGGGCAUCCUCUGUUUUCCAGGCUCCUGGUUUAUAGCUGCAAGCUCUGGACAUUUAAUACCUUGUAAUCCAUCCUUCCCUUAUAUACCUCUCAACAUAAUGACUGUACAAUAUGGCCAAUGAAACGGAUAGUAAAAUGAAACAUAGGCAAGUAAUAAAGUGAGAUAUGAAGACAGUAGUACAACCUGGAUGAGGGUGGAAUGCAAAAUUGUCAUCAGAGAAGACGACAGGAGGACCUGAGAGCUGGAGGGACGGACGCUUAUCUACCCAAAUGAGGCUAUAAAAAGUAGAAAGAUGGCAGGGUAAAAAUGGGGGAGGGCUGCCACUUAAGACUCUCAGGAAACAGUGAUGCAUCAGACUUUAUCAUUAAGUCCCAGGGGAGAGGAGUGGAUCUGGGGAUCCCUUUAGAUAUGGUAGAAUUCUCCUGGGUCCUGCUCUGGUCUUAAAUCUCAGACCAGUAGCAGGAAAACCCUAACUGUACUGUGGUCCUGAAUGUCACUGCAACUUCAGCCCUGCUGUGGUGGUGUAUCUGCUCCUCUGGCUGGCUCUGCCACCUUGAAAGGUGAGACCAUGUGGAGCAGAGCCAAGGGGCCUCAGCUGACAGCCAGCACCAACCAUCAGUCAUGUGAGUGAGACCACCUUGGACCCCCAACCCCAGUUGGGUUGUCAGAUGACUAUAGCUGCAGGUACAAGAGUGACCCAGUGACACCAGCAGAUGAACCGGCUAGCUUAGCUCAGCCCAAACUGCUGACUUAGAACUGUUGUUAUGUUAAGCCAGUACAUUUUCAGUGACUCAUUACAAAGCAGUAGAUAACUGUGACAGUCUAAGAGGAUCUAAGUUUGGAAACAGGAUUGAAUAUUUAAGAUAACUGAUUUGCCAGAUUUAUAAGUUUAUUAGUAUAUAAGAGUUGCUUGGCUGGGCACAGUGGCUCAUGCCUGUAACCCUAACACCUUGGAAGGCUGAAGCAGGAAGAUUGCUUGAGCCCAGGAGUUUGAGACCAGCCUUGGCAACACAGUGAGACCCAAUCUCUUAAAAAAAAAAAAAAAAAAAAAAACUCCGUCUCCCUCUCGCUCUCCGUCUCCCUCUCGCUCUCCCUCUCCCCACGGUCUCCCUCUCAUGCGGAGCCGAAGCUGGACUGUACUGCUGCCAUCUCGGCUCACUGCAUCCUCCCUGCCUGAUUCUCCUGCCUCAGUCUGCCGAGUGCCUGCGAUUGCAGGCACGCGCCGCCACGCCUGACUGGUUUUGGUGGAGACAGGGUUUCGCUGUGUUGGCCGGGCCGGUCUCCAGCCCCUAACCGCGAGUGAUCCGCCAACCUCGGCCUCCCGAG